UGCCACUUUGUGGUUCAUGACUGGGGUGAAGUCGUAACAAGGUAGCGCUAGGGGAACCUGGCGCUGGAUCACCUCCUUACACGA
rnacentral:rRNA from 1 species